rnacentral:rRNA from 1 species
AGAGUUUGAUCCUGGCUCAGGACGAACGCUGGCGGCGUGCUUAAUACUUGCAAGUCGGGCGAGGUUACUGUUUUGGAUCCCUUCGGGGUGAAGAAGCUUUAACCUAGCGGCGGACGGGUGAGUAACGCGUGGGUAACCUACCCCAAAGUCCGGGAUAACAGCGGGAAACCGCUGCUAAUACCGGAUGUCUUUACCUUGGGGCAUCUUGAGGUAAAGAAAGGCAACGCUUUGGGAUGGGCCCGCGUCCCAUUAGCUAGUUGGUGAGGUAACGGCUCACCAAAGCGACGAUGGGUAGCCGGCCUGAGAGGGUGGACGGCCACACUGGGACUGAGACACGGCCCAGACUCCUACGGGAGGCAGCAGUAGGGAAUAUUGCGCAAUGGACGGAAGUCUGACGCAGCGACGCCGCGUGAGCGAUGAAGGUCUUCGGAUCGUAAAGCUCUGUCCUUGGGGAAGAAGGCGAAAGCUUGACGGUACCCAAGAAGAAAGCCCCGGCUAACUACGUGCCAGCAGCCGCGGUAAUACGUAGGGGGCGAGCGUUGUCCGGAAUUACUGGGCGUAAAGGGCGUGUAGGCGGCCUGAUAAGUCAGGUGUGAAAUUCCAAGGCUUAACCUUGGAGCUGCACUUGAAACUGUUGGGCUUGAGGGCAGGAGAGGGAAGCGGAAUUCCCAGUGUAGCGGUGAAAUGCGUAGAUAUUGGGAGGAACACCAGUGGCGAAAGCGGCUUCCUGGACUGCACCUGACGCUGAGGCGCGAAAGCUAGGGGAGCGAACGGGAUUAGAUACCCCGGUAGUCCUAGCCGUAAACGAUGGGUACUAGGUGUGGGAGGUAUCGACCCCUUCCGUGCCGCAGUUAACGCAAUAAGUACCCCGCCUGGGGGAGUACGCCGCAAGGCUGGAACUCAAAUGAAUUGACGG